rnacentral:rRNA from 1 species
UGGGGAAUAUUGCACAAUGGGCGCAAGCCUGAUGCAGCCAUGCCGCGUGUAUGAAGAAGGCCUUCGGGUUGUAAAGUACUUUCAGCGGGGAGGAAGGGAGUAAAGUUAAUACCUUUGCUCAUUGACGUUACCCGCAGAAGAAGCACCGGCUAACUACGUGCCAGCAGCCGCGGUAAUACGUAGGGCGCGAGCGUUGUCCGGCAUUAUUGGGCGUAAAGGGCUUGUAGGCGGCUUGUUGCGCCUGCUGUGAAAACGCGGGGCUUAACUUCGCGCGUGCAGUGGGUACGGGCAGGCUUGAGUGUGGUAGGGGUGACUGGAAUUCCAGGUGUAGCGGUGGAAUGCGCAGAUAUCUGGAGGAACACCGAUGGCGAAGGCAGGUCACUGGGCCAUUACUGACGCUGAGGAGCGAAAGCAUGGGUAGCGAACAGG